CGCAGGUCGUGACGUCACACCAAAACAAACCCGAGGAGGGCCAGUAAUAAUUCUGUUCUCGGAGAAGCAGGUGUUCUCACGGACGUUUUCGAGAAUGCUGACGUGGAAACUAUAAAUUUUCUUCUCCUGGUAAUGAACAUCAAAACAGCAUGAUUCCAGCAUCAGCUGUAGAGUGGUGAAGUCACACAAACAGAUAAUGCAUCACACAACUCAUCACUCAAACCUUCAAGCAUAAUGAAUUUCCGUCAGAGAAUGGCAUGGCUAUGCCUAGCCUUUUACCUAGCGACUUCCUUUGCUGUUGUGUACUACUUCCUCGACAUUGCUGACCAGUAUGCUUUAUUUUCCCUAGAACAUUCAAAGCUGCACAAGUCAGGUGAUUCUGACAUUCCACUGUGGAAGUUUUGGCACCACAUUGGUGAUAUUCCAUUUCCUGUGUUGAUGGUACUAUUGGCUGUUCCUUAUUUUCAGGUUUUUGCAGCCCUCUUUUACUGCACUCUUCCUACAGCAAAUAAAAAUGUAAAUAAGUGCCUUGUGCCAGUUAUAGGUUGGAUAUAUAUGUUUCAGAAAGCUUUAACACUUUUCAAAGACCAUAAUGCUAAAACUACUAUGCAUGAAAACUUACAUGUUGUUAGUAUGUCAUGAAUCAACACAUUUUCAGGUAAAGUUUUUGGUACACAUAUGUAAUGAUUUUCCUCUUAAAUGGAGAGUUUUGAAUGAAAUGAUCUUCUGCAGGCAGGUAUUAGAGAGACAUGAAUUGUAUGAAUUACAUUGAAUAAGAGAAAAUUUAAAAAAUUGGUAGGGGAUUGUGAUUUCCUCAAAUGCUGUCCAAUAUAAAUAUGAAAGAUAUAAGAUGUAUAUAACACACACACACACACACACACACACACACACACACACACACACACACACACACACACACACACACACACACACACAUAUACACACACAUAUAUUAAAUUUACAUGUAUGUAUGUGUGUAAGUAUAUUUACACAUUGGUGAAGAGAUUAUUGGCAUUAGGUUAAACUAACCGUCCACUGUAUUAAAUUAUAUUGAUGCAUUGUGAAAUGAGCAAUUGAACACAUCUGUGAUGAUCCAGUAGGAGGAUAAUUGUUCUUAAGUAUAUCUGUUUUAACAUGAAGGAAGCAUGAAUAUAUUUUUAUGGAAUUUUCAUCAACUCAUCCACAUAUACAUAUGACAUAUAUAUGAGAUUCAGUAGAGGCAUAUGCAUAUGUGUACACUAUCCCUUACACACAUACACAUCCACUCAUGUAUCAAGUCAUAUUGUUCUUUUCCCAUCUUUCUUUUCUCUCUCUCACACAGCCUUUGAUCCUCCUGCAUUCUCCCUUUCUCACUCUUUCUCAUCCCCUCUCUCUCUCCUACCCUAUUCUCUCUCCUCUUUCCCUCCUACCCUUUUCUUUCUCUCUCCUCUCUCUCUCUCUCUCUCUCCUUCUCCUUCUUUUUCUCCUCAACCUUUUCCUUUUCCCCCACUUGCUCUGCCUCUUUUUGUACUCCUGUUUAUUCUCAGACCCAUAUUCACACUUUAAAAACAUUGCCUAGACUCUCAUGUGUGUGGUUAGCAUACUGUAACUGUAUUCAGCCUGGAUUCACAUGUUUUACUAGUAUGAGAACUUCCUGUAAUAAUUUGAGUCCUCUUUAUUUGCUUUCAUAUGUUCUUGGUAUCAUUUUACAAUGAUCUAGUCAAUGUGACAACUUGAAUUCCAAAUGUUUCCGGUAGAGAAAUUUGAUAUUUAAUUUUAAGUUGUUGAAAAUGGAAAGUACUUUGCUGGUUGUAUUUCUGAAAAUGGCAAUAUGUAAAUGUAGCUGGAAAACAGAAUAUAUCAUUUACACUUACCAACAGUGUGAUUACUGAAAGGUUGUAAAUUCUUAAAUUUGUAUGGGUGGCAGCAAUAGUCUUUUGCUUUGCUGUAGUAAUAACAUAAGUAACUGUGUAUUUGUUGUUUUUCUAUAUAUUUUUUUAUAUAUAAUCUGAUGUACCUUCCACCACCAGAUGAUUGUCACUUUACGUACAAAAACUAUGCCACAUCGGAAGCAGAUAUAUUUUAAUGAUUUCACUUUGUUGGCCUGCUACUUUGGUAUAUGGAAUGUUAAUAAAGGAAGAAUGACCUUGAAGAUAGUCAUUGCUCAGAUGUUACGAAGGUGUUUGAUAUUCAAGUCAGUUCAUGAUUCAUUCUGCAUUAUUUAUUAAUAUUGUAUCAUAGUUAUUUAUGUACAGUGAGUAAUUUAUACUCAUUUUCAUGAUUUUUUUUUUCUCUCCAAUAAUGAGUAUUGCUAUUUAGUAUUUAAUUUCGACUGACUGUGUGCUUGGCUGACUCAUCUGUGAUACCUUUGAAUGAAGGUAAUUUUCACAUUCUUGUUUUACUUUCAAAAAGUCAAUAACUGAAUUGUAAAUUUUAUGUUCAUAUCACUAGGAAGUGGAAUCGGAUUUUCAUAUUUGAAAGCGUAUUGUCAAGCUGAGAAAUUAAGACAAAUAUCAGGCCAGGUUGAUUGGGCUGAUUUUCACACACUUUGUUGUAAUUGUUAAUGGCUCAAAUUAGGUUCUAAGAAAAAAGGUAUGCAUUUUAUACUUUGGUCAUUCAGUGCUGUUAUCUUUCAGUGAUUAAAAAGGUCUAGGAGACUGGAUAUAAAGCUCUUUGACAGCAAAUAUUUUGGCUGUGCAUAUCAAUGGAUGUAUCUGAAUGCUUGAUAACUAUAUUUAACCAUAAUGUUAUCUCUUCUAUAAACCCUUCUGCCUGUAAGUGUGGUAACUGUGUAUAGUCUCCCCAAGAUAUAAGGGAUAAAUAACAAAACAUUGUUUUUUCUAUAGUUAUUCCAUUUUUCUUUAUCUUUUUACCAUCUAAAGCAGUUGCAUAUUCCCACCAAGGAAAUUACUUCCCAGUGCAUUAAUGACCUUAAAAUAUAAGUUCUUAAAAAGGAAAAAAAAUGCUUACUAUGAUACAUUCCACUGCCACAAAGGUUCAUGAAAUAACAGUAACAUAGUAAGAAUAAGAGCUACCAGGUAUAUAGAUAUCCGCAUGUGCAGUUUACAUGUGGUUGGACUAAGCUUGAAUGUGAGUGAUGUUAUGAGUGUGCUGUAAAAGUAUGUUCAAAUUUUUUUAUAUCUGUAGUUAAUGCAGAAUUUUUUUUUUUAUGAUUUCUGUACUGAUAGAUGUGGUUUGCUGUUUUGUAUAUUAAAACUGGGUUCUUAUUGUAAUAAAUAUUUUGGAUUUAAUGUACAUUGAAAGGUUUAUGAUUACAAUAUUUUGAAUGUUU
rnacentral:lncRNA from 1 species